AGGAUUUUAGUUUAUAAAAACAUUUGAUUUGCAUUCAAAAAAUACUAUAUUUUAGUAUAUCUUA
rnacentral:tRNA from 2 species